rnacentral:tRNA from 1 species
AAAGCUUUAAGUUAACAAAACUAUUAACCUUCAAAGUUAAAAAUAUAAUAUUAUUGUAAGCUUUA